GGUUAAGUUAUUAAGGGCGCAUGGUGGAUGCCUUGGCACUAGGAGCCGAUGAAGGACGGGACUAACACCGAUAUGCUUCGGGGAGCUGUAAGUAAGCUUUGAUCCGGAGAUUUCCGAAUGGGGGAACCCAACUUGUUAUGCAAGUUAUCACCUAAUGAAUAUAUAGUUAGGUUGAAGGUAGACGUUGUGAACUGAAACAUCUCAUUAGCAACAGGAAUAGAAAGAAAAA
rnacentral:ncRNA from 1 species